UACGUAGGUGGCAAGCGUUGUCCGGAUUUACUGGGCGUAAAGAGCGCGCAGGCGGUCAUUCAAGUCGAGUGUGAAAGCCCCCGGCUCAACUAGGGAGGGUCACUCGAUACUGUUUGACUCGAAGGCGGGAGAGGGAAGUGGAAUUCCCGGUGUAGUGGUGAAAUGCGUAGAUAUCGGGAGGAACACCAGUGGCGAAGGCGGGUCGUCUGGGCAACAACGUGACGCUGAGGAGCGAAAGCGAUGGGGAG
rnacentral:rRNA from 1 species